rnacentral:rRNA from 1 species
ACCUUACCAGGUCUUGACAUCCCUCUGACCGCUCUAGAGAUAGAGCUUCCCCUUNCGGGGGCAGAGUGACAGGUGGUGCAUGGUUGUCGUCAGCUCGUGUCGUGAGAUGUUGGGUUAAGUCCCGCAACGAGCGCAACCCUUGAGAUUAGUUGCCAGCAUUCAGUUGGGCACUCUAAUCUGACUGCCGCAGACAAUGCGGAGGAAGGUGGGGAUGACGUCAAAUCAUCAUGCCCCUUAUGACCUGGGCUACACACGUGCUACAAUGGAUGGUACAAAGGGUUGCUAAGCCGUGAGGUGGAGCUAAUCCCAUAAAGCCAUUCUCAGUUCGGAUUGUAGGCUGCAACUCGCCUACAUGAAGCCGGAAUCGCUAGUAAUCGCAGAUCAGCAUGCUGCGGUGAAUACGUUCCCGGGCCUUGUACACACCGCCCGUCACACCACGAGAGUUUGUAACACCCGAAGUCGGUGGGGUAACCGUAAGGAGCCAGCCGCCUAAGGUGGGACAGAUGAUUGGGGUGAAGUCGUACCAAGGUAGCCGUGGGGGAAGGUGCGGCUGGAUCACCUCCUU